AGUAAAGAUGAGAACUCUUCCAAGUUUCAUUUUAGUUGCUUCACCCUAUAACAUCUGAAGACGUGAAAUUAUGAUUGCUAAUGUAAAAAAAAAAAAAAAAAAAGUAAACUUUCAGAGUGCUAACUUGGAGCACUUUUGUGUCCCCACCAUUCUCAAAAUCAAACCUACUCUCUUGUUUAAAUCUAUAAUAUGGACAAGUCAAAAUAAAACCUGCUCUUCGUCCACUUUAAAGUAGUACUGUGCAAAUGUAUUCGUUCAUCAUAUGCUUAUUACUUCUGUGAUGUAUAGUAAGUCCGGUGAAUAAAUGCUUUGGAAGUGUGUGCGCGCGCAUACCUGGCGGGUCUCCCGCCGUGUCCACUUCAAAGACUUUGUCACGUCGCGGCGCGCGUGCAGAGACGACAAAUGGGACACGUGUCUGCGUGUGGACAAAAGACAAGAGUUCCUGUGCGCGGCCCCACGUUGCGAUGGCAACACUCAUCCAGACUGAAGAAUCGGCAGCACAAAGAAAUGUUUCCGCUUCGUAAAAAAGGGGGCAAAAUCAGUGAAAGAAACUGCAAGUUGUCUUUAAUACAUGCAUGGUCGUCUUUUUGUCCUCUUCAGCAUGAUUUUGCACGUCUGAAUUAUUGAGUUUUGCGGUCAUAUUUGGUGCGUGCGUCCUUCGUGGAGUGGUAAAAGUACAGUAAGAUGGAAUAAAAGUUGUAAAGUAUAUGCUUUAAUGUCUGCCCCGUUAUUCAAAAAUAGUGGGCGGGGCUUAGGCAGCGUAACGCAUGAUUGGCUGGAGUGGAUGUGGGCGUGUUCAAGCCAACACGAAGAAUUUAAGAGGUCAGGAGUGCGACUUGGAGGGAUUUAUAUUCCAGAAACUUCCGAGUGUGCAUCAUGAAGACAAAGCAAGAAACGGAGGAGGCCAGCCAUGAUAAAAAGCUUAUGAAAUCCCAAGUGGAGAAGCGUCGACGUGAGAGGAUGAAUCACAGUUUGGAUCGUUUGAGGGUCAUGUUGAUGCACGAACCCCAGCAGCGGGGCGCGUGCCAGCGUCGCGUGGAGAAGACGGAGAUCCUGGAGACCACGGUGAUGUUCCUGCACAACACCAGCAAAGCAAAGGCGGCGAGCGGGCCUUCCUUCCAAGACGGCUUCUCCGCCUGCCUGCGGAGGGCGGCGAGCUUCCUGGGCCCAGAUGUCAAAGGUCUGUGGCUGGUGGCCGCCGUGGACGCCGCCUUCGCCGCCCGCCCCCUGCAGGAGCCCCCCCUGUGCACCUCGUCCUCCAUCCUGCACCUGCUCUGGCAGAGGUCCAAGUCGGCGCCCAGGAAGCCUCUGAUGCCACCGCCCGGGACCUCCUCGCCGAGCACCUGCACGGAGCCCCCGCCCGUUAGCCCCGCCCUCACCUCUUCUCUGUGGAGGCCGUGGCCUUAACGCCCUCCCCGACCUCCUUUGUGAACUUUGACCUCCGCAUCAGCUGACAUUGCACCUGUAAAUAAUGUAAAGAUACUUGUACCUGGAUGAUGUCACAAGCUCCGCCCCCUGGCGCCGACCAGACACGACCUCGGGGUCACGGGUGCCGAGCUUCCAGACCACAGGGUGCAUCUUCACGCACAAACAAUCUCUGUGACCACUAGGCCCACACCUUUAUACAUGACUUGUAUAUUUUGCACAUUAAUUUAUUAUUUAAUUGUCACAACACCAAAUAAACACAUUCCAUG